UACGUAGGGUGCGAGCGUUAAUCGGAAUUACUGGGCGUAAAGCGUGCGCAGGCGGUGAUGUAAGACAGGUGUGAAAUCCCCGGGCUUAACCUGGGAACUGCAUUUGUGACUGCAUCGCUGGAGUGCGGCAGAGGGGGAUGGAAUUCCGCGUGUAGCAGUGAAAUGCGUAGAUAUGCGGAGGAACACCGAUGGCGAAGGCAGCUCGCUGGGACGGUACUGACGCUGAGGCGCGAAAGCGUGGGGAGCAAACAGG
rnacentral:rRNA from 1 species